rnacentral:rRNA from 1 species
UGUCGUCAGCUCGUGUUGUGAAAUGUUGGGUUAAGUCCCGCAACGAGCGCAACCCUUAUCCUUUGUUGCCAGCGGUUAGGCCGGGAACUCAAAGGAGACUGCCAGUGAUAAACUGGAGGAAGGUGGGGAUGACGUCAAGUCAUCAUGGCCCUUACGACCAGGGCUACACACGUGCUACAAUGGCAUAUACAAAGAGAAGCGACCUCGCGAGAGCAAGCGGACCUCAUAAAGUAUGUCGUAGUCCGGAUUGGAGUCUGCAACUCGACUCCAUGAAGUCGGAAUCGCUAGUAAUCGUGGAUCAGAAUGCCACGGUGAAUACGUUCCCGGGCCUUGUACACACCGCCCGUCACACCAUGGGAGUGGGUUGCAAAAGAAGUAGGUAGCUUAACCUUCGGGAGGGCGCUUACCACUUUGUGAUUCAUGACUGGGGUGAAGUCGUAACAAGGUAACCGUAGGGGAACCUGC